UGGAACUCGACAGGGUAGACAUGAGAACACAUGCGCAAUCAACGGCUGUAAUGAUGCCAUGUCAUGAUUACAAUCUCUCUUUUCAUGUGUUCUCAGGUCACCCCUGCUGAGCUCUU
rnacentral:pre_miRNA from 1 species